rnacentral:rRNA from 1 species
AGUGAACGCUGGCGGUAGGCCUAACACAUGCAAGUCGAACGGCAGCACAGUAAGAGCUUGCUCUUGCGGGUGGCGAGUGGCGGACGGGUGAGGAAUACAUCGGAAUCUACUUUUUCGUGGGGGAUAACGUAGGGAAACUUACGCUAAUACCGCAUACGACCUACGGGUGAAAGCAGGGGAUCUUCGGACCUUGCGCGAUUGAAUGAGCCGAUGUCGGAUUAGCUAGUUGGCGGGGUAAAGGCCCACCAAGGCGACGAUCCGUAGCUGGUCUGAGAGGAUGAUCAGCCACACUGGAACUGAGACACGGUCCAGACUCCUACGGGAGGCAGCAGCGGGGAAUAUUGGACAAUGGGCGCAAGCCUGAUCCAGCCAUACCGCGUGGGUGAAGAAGGCCUUCGGGUUGUAAAGCCCUUUUGUUGGGAAAGAAAAGCAGCAGGUUAAUACCCCGCUGUUCUGACGGUACCCAAAGAAUAAGCACCGGCUAACUUCGUG